rnacentral:tRNA from 1 species
UAAAAGGUAAGCUAAUUAAGCUAAUAGGUUCAUACCCUUUAUAUGAGAGUAUUACCCUCUCUCUUUUAA